AAUUCUACUGGUAACUUCUGAAAAACAUAAGGCACUUUAUUCUGCUGUCGGCGGUGGUGGUGAUGGUGGCAGCGAUGUCCGGUGUAAAGGAUGCAAGUUGCUCCAGCCACUGCUUUGUUGUGAAGAAGCAGACGCGCGUGUGUGGCUCUGACAACAACAUCCACAACAACUUGUGCGCAUUGGACUAUCAGAAAUGCAGCGAUGCAACACUCACUCAACUUCACGAAGCUGCCUGCAAGAAACUGCUGAGAG